GAUGAACGCUGGCGGCGUGCCUAAUACAUGCAAGUCGAGCGAACAGACGAGGAGCUUGCUCCUUCGACGUUAGCGGCGGACGGGUGAGUAACACGUAGGUAACCUACCUAUAAGACUGGGAUAACUUCGGGAAACCGGAGCUAAUACCGGAUAAUAUUUCGAACCGCAUGGUUCGAUAGUGAAAGAUGGCUUUGCUAUCACUUAUAGAUGGACCUGCGCCGUAUUAGCUAGUUGGUAAGGUAACGGCUUACCAAGGCAACGAUACGUAGCCGACCUGAGAGGGUGAUCGGCCACACUGGAACUGAGACACGGUCCAGACUCCUACGGGAGGCAGCAGUAGGGAAUCUUCCGCCAUGGGCGAAAGCCUGACGGAGCAACGCCGCGUGAGUGAUGAAGGUCUUCGGAUCGUAAAACUCUGUUAUUAGGGAAGAACAAACGUGUAAGUAACUGUGCACGUCUUGACGGUACCUAAUCAGAAAGCCAUGGCUAACUACGUG
rnacentral:rRNA from 1 species